CCAACGUCAAACACCUUAUGGUUAACAGCCACACUGAGCUAUUCCAAGUUCCAACCUUUUGUUGCCGCUUGUUGCCAACACGAUAGAAAUCUUACUCUCGCUUAGAAACGCGCGAGGAGUUGAUCAAGAACAUAGUCUGUUCACAAAAAUGUCUAUGGCUCUGCGUCGUCACCUCUUCGGUGGAGCGAAUCACAUCACUGCCCAUCAUACUCACCACCUUCUGAAACCCAAAAUGGGAUAUUGGGCGCCAUUUAAUCACAAUGCUUUGGUCCCCUCACUUGUUCUUCAUCAACGUUUCCACUCCUCCAUGGAUCUUCCGCCUCUUCUUCUCUGCGGCAAACCCAAAUUCAGUUUCACUAUUGUUAUGUGGUGGCACUUGCAUUUACAAUGGUGCCCAGAAAGAUGAUUGGAUUAUCAGACUCGCCCAGUUUGCAGUAGACCAGUACAAUCACAAAGAGAGUAAGCAUCUGUGAGGGUGGUGGGGGCAAGCCGCACUAUGGUUUCUAGCAUGUUGUACCAUAUUACACUGGAGGCCAUGAAUGCUAUAGGCCUAAGAUUUACCAUGCAAUUAUUUGGAUUACAAUAUUAAAGAAUUGCAUGGUGCUGCUUGUGUGGAAGCCCCUUGUCUACUCUUGGUGUUAAGUCUGGUGAUUUGAAGUUGCAUGAAGCUGCUAUGUAUUACAAGAAUCAAGCAAAACAAGAUCGCUUCCUCACUUGAAUUUAUAAAGCCUACAUUUUUUGUGCAUUUGGGUCUUCAUUGGCUAUCUAACCUUCAAAUAUCUUACAUACACCUGGCGCAUUGCACUCAUAUACAAGGUGAGCUAGCGAGACAAGCUUGUAUUAGUUUCUAACGUAACAGCCUUCCUCCUAACCUUCAAAUACACACAUAAAUGAAUAGUGAAGUCUGGAUGAGUUAUUUUGUUACUGUAAUUAUGACCCGUGAUGUGAUGAGUUACAUUGUGAAGCCUGCCUACUGGUUAUUUUUCUUGUACAUUAGGAUAGAGAGCUGUCCACUUUCACACCCCCUUUCACCUAUUGUGUCAGCAGCCACCAUUCUGAAGGAAUUGGAAGCUCAAACUCUAAUAUGGAGAGCCUUGGAGCGAGAAACGAUCGAGCUCCAUAUGUUUUACCAUGAUAUCAAGAAAGAUGUGUAAAUAGGUACCUUGGUUAGGAAUUUGAUGAUGGGAGGCUUGGUUGGAUAGUCGUCAGGUAGCUCGAUAGAAAGAAAGAAGACGCCUUCU